rnacentral:lncRNA from 1 species
UGGGGACCAGCAGGCCAGGUGUGGCUGUGGCUCAGUGGUGCUGGACUGAGGCCAUGUGGCCUCCCAGGCCUUCUGUCCUAGGUGGAGUGGGGGAUGGCCUCCCCACCCCCGAAGGUCUCCUGCCUUGGCCUGUCCACCUUGGCCCCCGUUGGCUCCACAUCUGCAUGGGGGGCAGUGGGCACCAUGUGUAGGAAGCAGCAGGAAGGGGUUGCCUUCUGAUA